ensembl:lncRNA novel transcript
UAAAUCUCAGAAGAGCAGCUUUUCAAAACUCUGUCAGGCCUGGGAGACAAAGGAAAUAUAUCUUGACCUCACAGAGAGCAUUCAGGUGGAAAAAAGUAAUUUUUUUAACUUGAAAUUUACAUUUAACUAAAAUGAAUUUGUCUCACAAUGAAGAAAGACUAAAUAAAUCAUGGUAUAGCCUAAGUGGAAAAUGGUUCCACUGUUAGAAAUCCGCAUUGAUAAAAGCCAUUCACUAACGUCGGUGAGGCAGGAGAACAGUGGCUGGAGGGAGAGAACAUAAGGCCGAUUCACGCUGAUUUCCUAGAACUAAAUCAAAUGGAAACACUUCAGUGAUGACAGGAGUAAACUCCCCACCCUCAAAGUGAAUGGCAGCCAUUUUUCUAGCUACAGAAGAGCAAAGCGCAGUACCACGUGCUCCUCCAGGCUGGAGCUGUCCUUGCUGGCGCUGUCUCUCCAUUUCUCUCUUAUUCUCCUGUGACGAUGGUGGGUGCACAUGUUCACAUGGAGAUGUCCAGGAUCCAAGCAAGUGGUCUGAAAGCCUGAGCCACAGCCCGUAAGGCAGGCACCCGGACAGGAACCCAGACCCACAGCAGACUUUGUCCAAGCAAUAGCGCUCCUAUGUCACGCCACUGAGAAUGUGGUGUCAUGUGUCACCGUAGCAUAAUCCAGUCUAACCUGACUGAUACCUCUGUUUUGAAAACAAACUGCUACAAGAAUUGCCUUGGGGGUUCAGUGCAUGAUCCAGAAAUUCACUGGUGACCCUCUGAGGCAUCUAGAUUGGCAUGAACUGUGUCUCAAGGGAAGAGAAGCCACUGGCGUUGAAAUGGUUAAUACAUGUGAUAGAAAUUAAGGCAGCAGCCUUGAAAGACUGCCAUGGAUAUUGAGAGAACAUAAGAGUUUCUAGAACACACCAACAUGAAGUUUGAGAUAUUCAAAGAUCACUGAAGACUUCACAAACCCGGUCUAUUGGGAUGUAUACCUACCCUUCCAGAAUGCAGAAUAUUUUCAGGAAGAAAGAAUACUCUUAGAAAAUAAUUCGUAUUUGAUUCACCAAGGUGACGUCUAGGAUUGUGAUCUUAGUUCUCAUUCUCUAGAAUCAUGUACCCUUCCUGUGAUACUGAAAUGUUGAAUUUGUGUUCAAUAAAACUUGAACAUAAUUUGAACAAAAACAAGGAUCCUACAUUAAAAAUCCUCACUAUAAUGAGAAAUGGACGUACUUACACAUCUCCAGGAGGAAAAACAGGAAGUUGACCAUAAUCAUAGGAGUGAUUUAUCAAGAAUUCCUAUCAAUACUUUCAAUAGUAUGUUUUCACAAGGGCUUCUUCCAAACUCUAUUGAUGUUGAAAUGCAUUUUAAAAGAUUAUAAUUGUCCUGUGGCUGAUGCUAGGAGAAGCUGAGCUAUGAAAAGCAGCUGAAAACGUGCUUCUUGGUGAAUAGUAUGAUGCUGAAUCUCCUGGUCAAGGAGCUGGCUCACCCCGUGGUGACCUCUGCCAUCCCAGCCAGGUGCCCGUUCAUGAAGACCAGCCCCACAGCAGUGGAGUUUCUUGAGAUUUUCCCAGGAAUGCUAAAAACAGUGGAGCUACUUUAAGGAAUCAACCCAUAAUCAUUAGCCUAUCCAAAUCUAAGCCCCACCAAGUUACUUGGAAGCUAUAAAUGUGUCUUUGAGUAUAUACAAAUAAAGAUGCUGUUUAUCCGGUCAUCUCUACGUGCAUUGUGAGCCUCACAAUGCCAGGGCCUCCCAAACACUUGAUACGGUCAGGGUACUAUCACUGGCGCAGAAAUGUAAGAGUGACACCACGUGCAUGGGUCUCUCCUGGGUGCUUUUGCUGAGGGAAGAAUUUUUCUAAACUUGACCUUGACUGAAAUUACAGUUGAUUGUGGAUGAUGCUUCUGGAGACGCUCAAAAUCAGGACUCAGUCUUUCCAUGGGACUUUUCUGGGUCUUGUGGAGAAGGGGAUAGAGAGGUUUUACUCUAGGGCUCUGUUAUGGCACGGUAAUUCUAUUUAUUCUGUCAUGGAAUCACUAGAAAAUAAAAUUCUGGAAGUCUGCUAGUAUUUUGCUACAUCAGCUGUCCAAAGGAAAAAGAGACAUGAGAUAUAUAAUCUGCUUACUUGGCCAUAUCAACACUUCUGAUGUUACUUCCACCCAAGAUGAGUUCCACCUGCAUGUGAGUCUCACCACCUCCUCCAAAGGACUUCCACCGUGUUCCUCCCACAAAGUGGAGUGUUGUACCAGUCCAUUACUGGUUAGAAAAUUCAUCUCAUAGGACUAAACUCUCCAGCUUUGGAUGUUAUUA